rnacentral:lncRNA from 1 species
GCUAUUUGGUCAUCCUCCAUAUUGGUGUCUGUGGUCUUCUAGCCCGAAGCCAGGGGCUGGCUUAGUUCUGCAAGUCUUGGCUGAAGCAACGCAGCAACAAGUGGUGACCCCGACGUGAUUCGUUCGGAGGGCAGAGGUGUAGCUCGCGAGCAUGGAUGUAACGAUUAAGGGCUCGGGUGCCGGGGAAAAGAAGCAUAAAACACCGGGGGACCUUGUGGAGGAACCUGCCCCGGGGGAACUUAUGGAGGAACUUAACAAAACGAUGAAUAUGCUAAAGGCACAGACAAAGAUACAGAGACGCACCUUGGAGCGGCUGGGCGAAACCCCGCCCCCUGUGGCGCAGCCAAAUUGGAACUUGAUUGCGAAAGACUGUGUGCUAAGUGGCGUAACCCUAGAAGCUGUACCUGCAGCAGCGCCUCCACAGGCGUUCCCUGUUCAGGUUGGGCCACAAGGAGGAGCUAUGUGGACGCCCCUAGACGCUAAGUUGGUUCAGGCCCUUCACAGGGCAAUAAAAGAGGAAGGUUUGUCGAGCGAAACCACACCUAUGCUGCUCGACUCCGCCCACGUCCAGCCACUAGCCCCUGCCGACGCUAGGCAGCUGGCAAGGGCGGUGCUAGCUGGCCCGCUAUUCCUUGUCUGGAAGGAGGCGUGGUAUCUCGACCUGCAAGCCCGCAUACAAGCUGCAACGACAGAUCCCACUCUAAUAUUUUAAAUCAAGCCCUGUUAGCUUUAAAUCACUAUGUUAGAGGAUACGAACAGUACUCGCCAAUGGAAAAACAGUAUCUAAAACAACAAGUAGCUACCUUUCCCCAGGUGCGUGUUAAAUUUCCAGGGGAACUACAGUGGGAAUCUGGGUGGAGGCUGCGUACAAUUGGAAGAGGGUAUGCAGCGGUAGAAAAGGAGGGAUUACUGAGAUGGGUGCCUAGCAGAUGUGUUAGGGCGGAAUUAAAGGAGACAGAUAACUGAUAAUCAUGCAAUCAGAAUAAAACUAAUGAAAAUUGUGAGUUCUUGUCCGCAGGACUGGAUUGUCGGAUGCCCUCGCAACCCGUACGUCUCAGUGACGAAUGAAGAUGACAAGUAAGAGGAUCAGACCUGAUGCUUCUACAGCAAGGGGGAGUGUGCGCUGCACUAGAGGAAGAGUGUUGUGUAUAUGCAAACCACACCGGAAUAGUAAGAGACACUAUGGCUAAAUUGCGGAAAGGUUUGGAAAAACGAAAGAGGGAACGAGAGGCACAGCAAGGUUGGUUUACGUCAUGGUUUAACCAUUCACCAUGGCUGACCACCCUGAUGUCUACCUAAUGGGACCAAUCACAAUGAUUGUAAUAGCAGUGAUUUUUGGACGCUGUCAAGCUCGUUUCAUUUGUUAAAAGUCGACCAGAGAGUGUUAGCAUUAUGUUAAUAGCACAUCAACGAUUGCUCUAAGACUAUUUCCGUUUGAAAUUCCUUUUAGCUAUCCCUAGUUAUACACCACUACUCUCAGUUGUCCCCCAGUUAUCCUGUUUAGCGUGCCUUAUAUUUUCUAUCUAAACUUAUGAUGUAUAUUUCUAAAUUUUUGUAAAAAAUAGCGUAGAAACAGCACACAUUUGCUAGGUUUGCACCAAGUUUUAUGAUAUGUAUUUUUAGGAUUGUUUUAUCUUAAUCACCUUAUUUGUGCAUGGGGAGGGGGAAAUGUAGGUAGUUAAGGUCUGGCGGCCGGAAGAUAUCGCGAUGUACGGAAAGAGAGAGCCCCUCCCCGGAUACUCUCACAAGCCCCAUAGCAUGGAGAGGGGAAUUGUGGGGCGAGGCUCAGCAAUACCAUAAAAGGUAAAAAUUGUUAACCUGCCUUCUGAUUGGGUCAGCAUAGGUACUUCCGUGUGGCCGAAAGGCAUAUAAUGCCUGCUGUUGUUUAAUAAAACGCUAUUUGGUCAUCCUCCAUA